UACGGAGGGGGCGAGCGUUAUUCGGAAUUAUUGGGCGUAAAGGGCGCGUAGGCGGGCGGGCAAGUCCGGGGUGAAAGCGUGCGGCUCAACCGCACAAGGGCCUUGGAUACUGCCGGCCUCGAGGGAGGUAGGGGCGUGCGGAACUUCCGGUGGAGCGGUGAAAUGCGUAGAUAUCGGAAGGAACACCGGUGGCGAAAGCGGCAUCCUGGACCGGCAUUGACGCUGAGGCGCGAAAGCCAGGGGAGCAAAGCGGG
rnacentral:rRNA from 1 species